GUCUAUGGCCCUACUACCCUGAUUGCCCCCAAUCUUGUCUGGUCUCAGAAGCUAAGCAGGGUCAGGCCUGGUUAGUACUUGGAUGGGAGAAAGAUCUUCAGAAGAGACUGCUCAGAGACAGUUUGGAGACAAAGAGG
ensembl:rRNA 5S_rRNA 5S ribosomal RNA